CUUGUACACACCGCCCGUCACACCAUGGGAGUGGGUAUUACCAGAAGCAGCUAGUCUAACCGCAAGGGGGACGGUUGCCACGGUAGGGUUCAUGACUGGGGUG
rnacentral:rRNA from 1 species